rnacentral:tRNA from 1 species
GGUGAUAUAGCCUAAACCCAAGGCACCUGAAUUGCAAUCAGACCAUGUAAUUAUAUACUAUCGCCA